GUUGGUUAUCGCGACUUUUUUGUUUCUAUUUGAUUGGCAUCGUAGAUGUUUGGUUUGCGACAGAAAUAGGAAUUUCCCACAUUUUUGCAGCAUUUACCUUGAACAUGAAAAAGAUGAUCAUCUGAUGAUUCUAUAUUUACACGCGUAUAACGUCUAUAUGCAAAUUCGUCACGCGUAGUUGUUUGGGGACGUCCAAAGCAGCUGCAAGUCACAUCGACUUUCGUUUGUUAUUAUUAAUAUUUUUUUUUCUCUGUUUACAUUUUUGUUGUGGUUUACGUUCGGCGCUUGUUCUCCUCUCUAAAAUCGUGUAGGAAAUAGGGUGCCAAUGCCUGAUGCCAUCAAACCGUUGCGCGUGCGCGUCUGGAUUCAAAUGCACUCUUGGGAACGUUAAAGCAAAGGCGGCCAACAAACAAAAACAAAUGCUUCUACUGAGAAAGGAGAAACGAUCCCCACAUAGCAGAGUGAGUUGCUGAUGCAAGAAAGAGUGAAACGGACGAAUAUAGCCAUGCAGAGCUGCCAACCGUUUGCAUUUUAAAAAAUGAUGGAAUCUAUCGACUCUCUUAAUUGAAAAUUGGGUUUGCCUACGGAACGCUAUUUGACCCACUUUAUGUUGACAACCUCUGUUCUCUGGUUUACUAUUUAUUUCAGGGAUUUUAUAAACAGUGACAAUCCACUUUCAAGUGAUUAACCACAUCACUCACUUGAGAUUAAUAGUUUAUGAGUGAUAAAACACAUGAAUUGGAUUCAAAAUUGAACGAGGAUGUCGGAAAUCAAGUUUGUUUGGUAUGAAAAACGCGACCUAGCGUUCUAAAUGGAAACCAACCUUCUGUCUGGUGAUGAUCUCAAAAUACACCUGUUGCAUCGCU